AUGAAGAUAAGUAACACAAUAUACUGGAAUAUAAUAAUAAUAUGCCUAUGGGGUUCAGAAACACUUCCUGUAUGUAUUCCACCAACCCCACCACUAUUAGGGGUGAAUGAUAGGAUCCCUUUGGUUGAGGCAGCUAACCUAACUUUUAUAGAGGGAGACCGUGUUUUAAAAUAUGACCUGGAAUAUGGCAAUUUUACAAUUUGGCAUUGGGAUAAUAGCCAUAUCCUUAACUUACCUAAGGGCAAACCUUUUACAGGUUACUUAUUUGUAAAAUUAGAACAAAGUCAUAAAUAUUGGGCUGAAAUUUUGCCCAGCAAUGAAACUGGAAGGGAAUUAUAUAACUCAACUAAAAAGAUACAUUGUAUUGCCAUAGAUAUAGAUGAUCGAAAAAUUAAAAAGGUCCCAGGUUAUGAAGACCAAGAUAUUGCGGCUGGAUGUGUGAUGUGCCAUAGUAUUGCUUGUCCAGAUAGUCUCCUGCCCUGUCAAUGCGGCUGGAAGGCUAACCACGCAUUAUUCUUAAAGGUCCAAUGGUGGACCCAAGUGCCUACGGGAAACAUCACGGUUAGACCCGGAAGGCUUUGGGAACCUUUGUGGCAAAGCCAAACCACCGCCUACCUGGGAGUCUCCUCGAUUUUGUUGACUCUAACUUGGGACACCCAGAGGUUUUGGGUUGAUACUUACUAUCCUAAUUGCUCCCACUCCGUACAUUUACAAUGGAAACAGCACCUAUGGUGGAUACAACAUUACUGGCCCCAAAAUAACAAGAUAAUGAAAAGAGAUCUUAUAGGAGGGAUAGGAACAGGAUUAGGCAUAUUGGGGCAGGCAGAAUUUGCUGCUGCUGAGGAACGACACAAUUUGGAAAAGGAUUCCUUAUCCAAAAUAGGCCAUAUUAAAGGCACUUUGUUUCAAGAAGAAGGCAAAGGAUGGGAAACUCUUUCAAAAGAAAACGAGGUCUUAGUAAGGUGGAUAAGUAAAACCAGAGAAACCAUACAAAGGCAUUUCCAAACUCAAACCUGGGAAAGGGCAUGUAUUCUCACCCAGGAAGGAUUGCUCACCAUGUUAAUGCAGAUGGAAUCUGAGGUGGCCAUGGGACAAUGGCCUACUCUAAUGAAUGCUGAAUUGGAAACUCAAAAAUUAUGGCCUAUAUAUGGAAGCCCCAAGUUAUGGAAGAUUAUUACUGGUGGCUGUAACUCGAGGCGUUGCAUCUUAAGGGCACAUGUGCCUCGGAUGGACCAUGCUAAUUCAUAUCCAAUAGUUCAGCUUGCAGGCAUAGGGAUUAUAUUAAAUCAGACAAGGAUUUUGCCAAUGGGGAGUCGAUGGGCCAUAAUGUCAAAUGAAUCAGCUUGGGCUCCCAUAUCUCUUUCUAACUGCGAAGAGAGAAAUAAAAUCUGGCUGUGUCCUCAACAAAGCUGGAACCCUGAUUUCGCUCAGGUCUGGCCACUCGUCUCUACCCCAAUAACCAAUAGCAUUUGGUACAUGGGUAGAGGGAAAUUUUGCUGGGAAAGUAAACAAGGAGAAAUAGCUGACACAGAGAGUUUUACCUGUGAGCAUAUGUACCAUGUACUAAAUCAUACUGGAGUAUGGUGCAACACUGGAACCGUUGGUCGAAUACAUUUACAAAAGAUUAACAAGACUUAUAGUAAUCUGGAUAUGGAAGAUCAAUCUUUCCUUGAGGUAGAAUUAAAUAUGCCUCAUGGAAUUGUUCCUAUGGAAACUGGAUGGCCAAAGGAAGAAUUGAGGAUUCAGGACCACGAGCUAGCUCAGGUGCUUAAUUAUCCUAAUCAACAAUAUCACCAGAUCCAAAUAAGUAUGGAAGAGGGAGGAAAAGCUAUAGUUAAAUUGGUAAAAAAUUAUGACCAGACAUGCCAGGGAUUUUUAGGAUGGCUACAAUGCAGCUUUCCUUCCUAUGUUGUGGCUACCUCCCUAGGGGGCGCUGCAUUUGGAAUAUUGCUUGUUGGUCUGAUAUUCUUUUUGUGUGUCAUUCGUAGACGCUGUUGUAUACGCCAGAAAAAUAAGACAUCCAAGGCAAUUUUGCAAACCAAGAUGUAA
rnacentral:lncRNA from 1 species